rnacentral:misc_RNA from 1 species
AAGUCGUAACAAGGUUUCCGUAGGUGAACCUGCGGAAGGAUCAUUAACACGUAUCCACGUAUCAACCAAUCGUGAACUCGUUUUCGCAUCUCCCUGCUGCAGUAAUUGGAACGGUCGAACAUUAUGAAUGGGACUCUUCGGAGUCACGGUUCGACCCCAUAUACAAUUUUCUGUGGUCAGGCAAAUUCUUAUUAAUUCAAGCUCCAUUCAUGCUUGAAUUUUUAGGAGCCAACAAUUAACAAUUUUCACCCCCUUUUUGCUAGUUGACUUUUUUAUGUGGUGUUCUGAAAAUUUAAUUUUCAAAGCUCACACGUUUAAUUAAUUGAACGUUAAAAAUACAACUCUUAGCAAUGGAUAUCUUGGUUCUC